rnacentral:rRNA from 1 species
UGGGGAAUAUUGGACAAUGGGCGAAAGCCUGAUCCAGCCAUGCCGCGUGUGUGAAGAAGGUCUUCGGAUUGUAAAGCACUUUAAGUUGGGAGGAAGGGCAGUAAGCUAAUACCUUGCUGUUUUGACGUUACCGACAGAAUAAGCACCGGCUAACUCUGUGCCAGCAGCCGCGGUAAUACAGAGGGUGCAAGCGUUAAUCGGAAUUACUGGGCGUAAAGCGCGCGUAGGUGGUUUGUUAAGUUGGAUGUGAAAGCCCCGGGCUCAACCUGGGAACUGCAUCCAAAACUGGCAAGCUAGAGUACGGUAGAGGGUGGUGGAAUUUCCUGUGUAGCGGUGAAAUGCGUAGAUAUAGGAAGGAACACCAGUGGCGAAGGCGACCACCUGGACUGAUACUGACACUGAGGUGCGAAAGCGUGGGGAGCAAACAGGAUUAGAUACCCCCGUAGUCC